GAUGGGCUCAAACUUUCAACUGUUAUACAUUAGAAUUUAGAACUCCCUCCAUUACUUCUCAAUAAAAAGCCCCUUUAUCAGUGAAUUCGAAUCGCCUACAUUUCAACAGCAAUAUAGUCUCAGUCAUGCUCGCUGCUAGACUUUUUGGGAGAGCAUUGUUGGCUGCGGCCAAAUCAGAGAGUUCAGCUGAUGCUGCUUCUUCUGCUGCUACAACUAAGUCUUGUAGGAUCAGUAUAUUCGUGUGUUGAUGGAGAAAUGACAACUGUUUCAACUGAAGGGGAGUGUGCACAAUGCUGUCAAUGAUAUAUUUUCUCCAGCUUAGGAUUAGAGGUCGAAGUUGGAAGGCUUCUGAACUGCGUCUGAAGUCUUGGGAUGAUCUUCAAAAGUUAUGGUAUGUUCUUCUGAAGGAGAAGAACAUGUUAAUGACUCAACGCCAGAUGCUUCAUGCUCAGAACUUGAGGUUUCCCAAUCCUGAGCGUAUUUCCAAGGUACUUGCUUAAUCUCUAAUGGCCAAAAGCUAAGACAACUUGUAAUCGAAGUUUUGAUGUGAAGUGAAAGACUGAUCUGGAUGCCUGAACUGUUCAAAUUCAUGUUUACUCAUGUGUAUUGUUCAUAUAACAAAUUGCUCUUAAUAAUUUCAUGUUUAGCUUACUUGUGUACACAUUAGCUUACACGAUAAAUUAUGUAGUAGCAGCAUUUGAAACAUAGACGACCUGGACUUUUGACAAUUGUAAUAAUUGGACUGCUAUACUAGUGUGUAUUCAUUCAGUAAUA